rfam:Glycine max cultivar Williams 82 chromosome 15, whole genome shotgun sequence.
UUCUGAUUAGAUGAUAACUGUCACGUGUCACGUUCUGAUUGGACGUUGACAACAAUACAUUAUCAUCGUUUAAUCAGAAUAUGACACGUAAUAGUCAACGUUC